CCUUUUGACAUCUGAGGGCCGAGAACUCCACCCUCAGAUCUUGUUAAGCAUCCACCAGUUUGCACGUGCGGAGGCCUGCACUUAGUCACGCCUGCGCAGAAGAGGAACAUGUCCCUUUGCAUAAACGCGUUUGCCCCAGGCUCUCCUACUCCCCAUGCGUCAGGCCCUGAGUGUAAUCGCUCAGUCGUGUCCCACUCUGUGACCCCAAGGCCUGUAGCCUCGCCAGCCUCCUCUGCUUCUUCCUCGUCCAGUGAAUACCUGAAGAAGAUUGCCUUUGGGAGGCGGAUCUGAGGCUUGCUUUUCAGUUUCCUCUCCUGGCAGCCUUGUGAAUAACCCCUCUUCCACUGCAAACCUAGGCACCUCAGCGUGUUUUUCUUGCUGCGUGUCGGGGCAAGACCAAGCUGAUGAGGCUUUUUGGAUUUGUCCUUGGACUUUUCUCCCCCUAUAAUUGUAAGAAGACUGCAAUCGUUCCAAGGGUCCUAGCCAGAUAUGACCACAUCUCCAAGAGACCAUCUUUUCUCAGUGUGGCUCCCUAAGAGUGAAGGAAUCUUCCAGGAAGCUGAGAGAAGACAUCCCGUGUUUCAUAGGACACACGUGAAGCACGUGCCCAUGACUAAGCCAGUUGCUGGCAAGACCACCAGGACUUCCAUGAUUGGUUGCUCAGGUGGUUCAGACAGUAAAGAAUCUGCCUCCAAUGCAGGAGACCUGGGCUCUAUCCCUGGGCUGGGAAGAUUCCUGGAGGAGGAAAUGGCAACCUACUCUAGUAUUCUUGCCUGGGAAAACCCAUGGACAGAGAAGCUUGGGGGACUAUAGCCCACGGGUUCGCAAAUAGUCGGACAGGACUGAACAACUAACUCUAUCAGGGUUUGUUGUCCCUGGGGCUCCUGGUGGUUCUGCUGCUGCUGCUAAGUCGCUUCAGUCGUGUCCGACUCUGUGCGACCCCAUAGACUAGCCUUCAGUAAAGCAUAAGGAUGCCUAGAGGAGGGAAGAUCUCUUGCGUAAAAUGGGAAUUCCAUCAGGAAAGUCAAAGAGGUUGGGAGUGGACAUGGGUAGAUGUCCUGCACUACCUGCUACCUCCUCACAAACCACUGACAAUAAUACUAUCGCUGGAAAAGAUUCCAGAUCUCAAGUACAAAACAGGGACUAAUAAAGGAGUAUGUUUCUGGCCCA